GAUCAACGCUGGCGGCGUGCCUCAGACAUGCAAGUCGAACGCGAAAGGCCCCUUCGGGGGCCGAGUAGAGUGGCGCACGGGUGAGUAACACGUAGGUAAUUUGCCUUUGGGUGGGGAAUAACUCAGGGAAACUUGAGCUAAUACCGCAUAAUGCAGCGGCUCGACAUCGAGACAGUUGUUAAAGCGGGGGGAUCGCAAGACCUCGCGCCUGAAGAGAAGCCUGCGGCAGAUUAGCUAGUUGGUAGGGUAAUGGCCUACCAAGGCGACGAUCUGUAACCGGCCUGAGAGGGCGGUCGGUCACACUGACACUGACAUACGGGUCAGACUCC
rnacentral:rRNA from 1 species